CAUGCUUCUCUGCCUCUUGGCUAAGUUAAAUUGUAGUAGUUGUUCAUAUCAAUUUAAUAUUAGAUAUGUCCCUUAUCUGGGGACCAUGUAUUAGAGUAAUUGUUUGGAACACGGAGAUGGAAUAGGAGCUUUGCUCCAUCCACUCCAUGCACCGACCUGGCAUUGUAGUACUUCUAGGAACAAUGCACAUUCC